rnacentral:piRNA from 1 species
UGUUUUGAACUUAGCUUUCCUCCUUUAGAC